UGGGCCUACGGGAGGCAGCAGUGGGGGAUAUUGCACAAUGGGGGAAACCCUGAUGCAGCGACGCCGCGUGGGUGAAGAAGCGCCUCGGCGCGUAAAGCCCUGUCAGCAGGGAAGAAAAUGACGGUACCUGAAGAAGAAGCCCCGGCUAGCUACGUGCCAGCAGCCGCGGUAAUACGUAGGGGGCAAGCGUUAUCCGGAUUUAUUGGGUGUAAAGGGCGUGUAGGCGGGAGCGCAAGUCGGAUGUGAAAAAUCAGGGCUCAACCCUGAGGCUGCAUUUGAAACUGUGUUUCUUGAGUGCUGGAGAG
rnacentral:rRNA from 1 species